AACGAACGCUGGCGGCAUGCCUAACACAUGCAAGUCGAACGAGAUCUUCGGGUCUAGUGGCGCACGGGUGCGUAACGCGUGGGAAUCUGCCCUUUGGUUCGGAAUAACAGUUGGAAACGACUGCUAAUACCGGAUGAUGACGAAAGUCCAAAGAUUUAUCGCCAGAGGAUGAGCCCGCGUAGGAUUAGCUAGUUGGGGGGGUAAAGGCGCACCAAGGCGACAAUCCUUAGCUGGUCUGAGAGGAUGAUCAGCCACACUGGGACUGAGACACGGCCCAGACUCCUACGGGAGGCAGCAGUGGGGAAUAUUGGACAAUGGGCGAAAGCCUGAUCCAGCAAUGCCGCGUGAGUGAUGAAGGCCUUAGGGUUGUAAAGCUCUUUUACCCGGGAUGAUAAUGACAGUACCGGGAGAAUAAGCACCGGCUAACUCUGUGCCAGCCGCCGCCGUAA
rnacentral:rRNA from 1 species